GGUUAAGCGACUAAGCGUACACGGUGGAUGCCCUGGCAGUCAGAGGCGAUGAAGGACGUGCUAAUCUGCGAAAAGCGUCGGUAAGGUGAUAUGAACCGUUAUAACCGGCGAUGUCCGAAUGGGGAAACCCAGUGCAAUUCGUUGCACUAUCGUUAACUGAAUACAUAGGUUAACGAGGCGAACCGGGGGAACUGAAACAUCUAAGUACCCCGAGGAAAAGAAAUCAACCGAGAUUCCCCCAGUAGCGGCGAGCGAACGGGGAGCAGCCCAGAGUCUGAAUCAGCUUGUGUGUUAGUGGAACGGUCUGGAAAGUCCGACGGUACAGGGUGAUAGUCCCGUACACCAAAAUGCACAGGCUGUGAACUCGAAGAGUAGGGCGGGACACGUGGUAUCCUGUCUGAAUAUGGGGGGACCAUCCUCCAAGGCUAAAUACUCCUGACUGACCGAUAGUGAACCAGUACCGUGAGGGAAAGGCGAAAAGAACCCCGGCGAGGGGAGUGAAAAAGAACCUGAAACCGUGUACGUACAAGCAGUGGGAGCACCUUCGGGUGUGACUGCGUACCUUUUGUAUAAUGGGUCAGCGACUUAUAUUCUGUAGCAAGGUUAACCGUAUAGGGGAGCCGCAGGGAAACCGAGUCUUAACUGGGCGUUAAGUUGCAGGGUAUAGACCCGAAACCCGGUGAUCUAGCCAUGGGCAGGUUGAAGGUUGGGUAACACUAACUGGAGGACCGAACCGACUAAUGUUGAAAAAUUAGCGGAUGACUUGUGGCUGGGGGUGAAAGGCCAAUCAAACCGGGAGAUAGCUGGUUCUCCCCGAAAGCUAUUUAGGUAGCGCCUCGUGAACUCAUCUUCGGGGGUAGAGCACUGUUUCGGCUAGGGGGUCAUCCCGACUUACCAACCCGAUGCAAACUACGAAUACCGAAGAAUGUUAUCACGGGAGACACACGGCGGGUGCUAACGUCCGUCGUGAAGAGGGAAACAACCCAGACCGCCAGCUAAGGUCCCAAAGUCAUGGUUAAGUGGGAAACGAUGUGGGAAGGCACAGACAGCCAGGAUGUUGGCUUAGAAGCAGCCAUCAUUUAAAGAAAGCGUAAUAGCUCACUGGUCGAGUCGGCCUGCGCGGAAGAUGUAACGGGGCUAAACCAUGCACCGAAGCUGCGGCAGCGACACUAUGUGUUGUUGGGUAGGGGAGCGUUCUGUAAGCCUGCGAAGGUGUGCUGUGAGGCAUGCUGGAGGUAUCAGAAGUGCGAAUGCUGACAUAAGUAACGAUAAAGCGGGUGAAAAGCCCGCUCGCCGGAAGACCAAGGGUUCCUGUCCAACGUUAAUCGGGGCAGGGUGAGUCGACCCCUAAGGCGAGGCCGAAAGGCGUAGUCGAUGGGAAACAGGUUAAUAUUCCUGUACUUGGUGUUACUGCGAAGGGGGGACGGAGAAGGCUAUGUUAGCCGGGCGACGGUUGUCCCGGUUUAAGCAUGUAGGCUGAUUGUCCAGGCAAAUCCGGAUAAUCAAGGCUGAGGUGUGAUGACGAGGCACUACGGUGCUGAAGUAACAAAUGCCCUGCUUCCAGGAAAAGCCUCUAAGCAUCAGGUAACAUUAAAUCGUACCCCAAACCGACACAGGUGGUCAGGUAGAGAAUACCAAGGCGCUUGAGAGAACUCGGGUGAAGGAACUAGGCAAAAUGGUGCCGUAACUUCGGGAGAAGGCACGCUGGUGUGUAGGUGAAGUCCCUGCGGAUGGAGCUGAGACCAGUCGAAGAUACCAGCUGGCUGCAACUGUUUAUUAAAAACACAGCACUGUGCAAACACGAAAGUGGACGUAUACGGUGUGACGCCUGCCCGGUGCCGGAAGGUUAAUUGAUGGGGUUAUCCGUAAGGAGAAGCUCUUGAUCGAAGCCCCGGUAAACGGCGGCCGUAACUAUAACGGUCCUAAGGUAGCGAAAUUCCUUGUCGGGUAAGUUCCGACCUGCACGAAUGGCGUAAUGAUGGCCAGGCUGUCUCCACCCGAGACUCAGUGAAAUUGAACUCGCUGUGAAGAUGCAGUGUACCCGCGGCAAGACGGAAAGACCCCGUGAACCUUUACUAUAGCUUGACACUGAACAUUGAGCCUUGAUGUGUAGGAUAGGUGGGAGGCUUUGAAGCGUGGACGCCAGUCUGCGUGGAGCCAACCUUGAAAUACCACCCUUUAAUGUUUGAUGUUCUAACGUUGGCCCCUUACCGGGGUUGCGGACAGUGUCUGGUGGGUAGUUUGACUGGGGCGGUCUCCUCCCAAAGCGUAACGGAGGAGCACGAAGGUUAGCUAAUCCUGGUCGGACAUCAGGAGGUUAGUGCAAUGGCAUAAGCUAGCUUGACUGCGAGCGUGACGGCGCGAGCAGGUGCGAAAGCAGGUCAUAGUGAUCCGGUGGUUCUGAAUGGAAGGGCCAUCGCUCAACGGAUAAAAGGUACUCCGGGGAUAACAGGCUGAUACCGCCCAAGAGUUCAUAUCGACGGCGGUGUUUGGCACCUCGAUGUCGGCUCAUCACAUCCUGGGGCUGAAGUAGGUCCCAAGGGUAUGGCUGUUCGCCAUUUAAAGUGGUACGCGAGCUGGGUUUAGAACGUCGUGAGACAGUUCGGUCCCUAUCUGCCGUGGGCGCUGGAGAAUUGAGGGGGCUGCUCCUAGUACGAGAGGACCGGAGUGGACGCAUCACUGGUGUUCGGGUUGUCAUGCCAAUGGCACUGCCCGGUAGCUAAAUGCGGAAGAGAUAAGUGCUGAAAGCAUCUAAGCACGAAACUUGCCCCGAGAUGAGUUCUCCCUGAGACUUUAAGUCUCCUGAAGGAACGUUAAAGACGAUGACGUUGAUAGGCCGGGUGUGUAAGCGCAGCGAUGCGUUGAGCUAACCGGUACUAAUGAACCGUGAGGCUUAACCUU
rnacentral:rRNA from 1 species